rnacentral:lncRNA from 13 species
AACCUACACUUACACCAAGAUACCACCCCCUUUAUGAAAUUCGGACAACCACCACUCCUGAAAUUUGAGUAAAUUAAUAUUUACAUAGUUGUAAAGAGUGCGCCAAUCAUGCGCCACGGACGCAGAUGGAGGCGGGACUGGGUUUGAGGUUUAGUCGAAUUUAUGUUGGCAGCACAUGUCCAAUAAAAGGUUCGACGAAAGGAAAAUGCUAUUACCAUACUACUACAGGAGUUCUGGCUUGUGCGAGAAACCUUCCUGGAACGUCUCAACGACUUGUUUUUGGAAAUCUAAUGGACUAUAAACCCUCAGAUUCGAAAACAUCAAUAUUUGUUCUUCUUCAGGAGAGUCGCACCUGCUUGAUCCAAUUUGAGGUAUUUGGAUCAGAGUUUAGUUGACUACUAUAGUACUAUCAGAGAGAAUAGCAGUUGGUAGGUUACUUGCCUCGCAGGGCGGAAUAGGACCGUUCUUUGCUGAUGCGUAACUAAGGUCCAAUCUUUCGAAUACCGCCACAGACUACACCCUUUCUGCAGCUCUGAACUGAAAUUCCUUUAGACCUGUGAUGUGUAUUAAUUGGAUGUAACCCGGUGCAUCUCUUGGCGCAUGAUCCUCAACAGCCUGCCUAUUCCCCGCGCGCGUGAAUCGUUAAAACGUGGUGAGGUGGUACGCUUUAUUUAGCCAAUCUCAACGGCUACACUGGGCAGUACUUUUGACUAACUCACAUUUGAAUGAAUUCAGCAGUAACAGUCGGGUUAUUCUGGAACCCAGACCACAUACAGCCGACUGUCUCAUUUCAUCCCGUGAAGAGACCGAUGAUGACGGAGAACAGCGAGAUGGAGACCGAGACGCAGCUCCAACGCUCGCCAAGCAACAUGUCCAUCACACCGGUGUCCAAGACAGAGGAGAGACAGAGGAGAGGACAACGCCCUUCUCUCUCUGCUAGCUAUUCUUCCUCCUGUCACCUCCAUGGUGUCUCUGUGACAGACACUUCACCACAGCACCAUCCAUAACACCUAACUCUUCAUGAUGUAUGAUCAUCAAUCAGUAUCUCUGGCCUGAGGAGCAGGUUGGCAUUUAUUGUCAUAAAUCUUGCCCUGGAGGCAGCUCUGCAGUGGUCACUAGCUAGCACAGUCAAAGUCAUAAAAUUGGGUUUUAAACUUAACCACACUGCUAAUCUUAAUGCCUUACCCUAACCUCAAAUUAAACGUUUUUAAAAAACACAUUUUUGUUUUCCAUACAUUUUUACGAUAAUAGCCCAUUUUGACUUUGCAGCUGGCCCUGCUAGUAGAAAAGGUUCAGUUCUGCCUCCAGGGCAAGAUUCAUAACAAUAAACGUCAACCUGUGCCUGGGGAGAUCAUCAGUCAGUUGAGCGACAUGUAUUUAUUUAGGUAAUCAAUGCAAGUUGGAGAGACAGAGAGACAGGAUACAGGAGUGAUGGCUUUGACAUGUGUUCAUUUAUCAGUCAUGCAGGUACAGCUCGGUCAGUAGAGCUGAUAAGGAAUGAAUGAUAGUCACGUCAUGUACAAUACGUGGGGUAAGGAUGCUGUGUCAAUAAUCCUGUGUGUGUGUGUGUGUGUGUGUGUCAAAUCAAAUGUUAUUUGUCACAUACGCCUUACAGCGAAAUGCUUACUUACAAGCCCUUAACCGGCAAUGCAGUUUUAAGAAAAAAAUAUAAUUUUAAAAUAAAUAAAAGUAACAAAUAAUUAAAGAGCAGCAGUGAAAUAACAAUAGCCAGGCUAUAUACAGGGUGUACCGGUACAGAGUCAGUACAG